rnacentral:rRNA from 1 species
CUUUAAGGGUCCUGAAGGAACGUUGAAGACGACGACGUUGAUAGGCCGGGUGUGUAAGCGCAGCGAUGCGUUGAGCUAACCGGUACUAAUGAACCGUGAGGCUUAAUCUU